UGUACUUCUCUAACCCUCUUAACCUCCUGUUGCAGGACGCUGCGUUUGUAUCUGCAGACGAAGUGCACCGGUUUUUUCACCCUGCCAGGUGACAAAGUAUCUAUGAAAACCAACGAUGUGCCGUUGUCUCUCACCCUGCCAGCUAACAAAAGGUUGGUGCUGUGGAAACAUUUCCAGCUCUCCACAAGAUACUUUGGCACUGCACCAAAGGUAAACAUGCUUCUUCCAUCCAGAGCCUGGGUGGUUAUGUUCAGAUCAACGCUGCUAUUCAUAUGCUCGUUUUGAAUGGUAUAUUUACACUCUUUUCCAAGAUGCCCUCGACAACAGGCAUGCGUAGAUCAUUGUUCCAGUUGGUUGGAGAUCACAGUGGACCUGUUCAAGUAACCAGCCGCCCACAGAAUUUUUCUCUUUGUGAUGUUCAUCAACAAAUAAUGUUGUACCAAAGAAGUUCCACGGUUUGCCACCCUGCCGGCUGACAAAGUAUCUAUUUAAGCCAAAGAAGUGCCGUCGUCUCUCACCCUGCCAGCUAAGAAAAGGAUGCCUGCGUGAUUGAGGAGAGCCCAAACAUGAGCAAGGAAUUCAUCUCCUUGCGCAAGCCGUUCCAUGUGCACCUUGACACUGUCUGAUGGCAUGAUAUGGAUGAUGAUCUCGGCCCAGAAUUCAGCCAUCACCUUCCAGCGGAGAACAUCAUCUUCUAUCUUCUCCUCCAGCUCUUUCCCCAGCUUCAAGCCUUUAAAGAUGAUGGUAUCUAAAAUGCUAUUAUUGGUGGAAGUGGAACUGAGGAUUUGUAUCCUCGGGGCUGUUACUGCUUAAUAUGCGAAUUGUGGUAUCGUCAUCGUCGUUGCUUCUGGAACCAUGGAGGACAAUAUCUUCAUUGCUGAUGCUUUUGGAAUCAUUGACGACCUAGAGCAAUCUAUCCCUACUCGGCUUCCGCCUACAAAGCAUCUGUCUUGGUUCCCGUUGCAGGCAACUGAAGUGAAACAGUGUGUCCGUAGAGUUCCCAGGAAGCAAAUCUGGGAGGAAGGACAUCAAAUAUGCACAAUAUCUGGAUAAAAGUGACCGCAACUUGCUGGUAAUUAUCUGUGUGGAGCUUUCUUUCCUUCAAAGACUCAGUGUUGCAGUAUUCAAGGCCCCACUGCCCUGACUGGCUUCAUUGCUAGCCUUGCCUCGCCCGACUCCCCUGGCAUCCUUUGCACGCGGCCACCACCGCCACCACCAGCGGCCUCAAAGCCUUCUGCGAUGGAGAAGCUGGCAAGAUGCAGUGGCCGCCUCACUGCCAAGCCCACUGCAGGUCUCCCGACGAUGGACAAGGUCAAGCUUGUCUUGCUGAAGAAAUCUGGCGAACCCAUCGAUGAAUUGACUGCUGCCUCUGUUGCCCUGAAGAAGUACGGAGAUUUGUACCAGCAGCCGGUCAUGGUCCUGAUGGACGCCACCAACCCUACUCGCAAGACGGGGAAGAAAGCUGAUGCAACUGCGCCUUCAACCGAGGGUGCCCAUCGGUGAACGACCUACUCAUGAAGAUCAAGGAUGAGGCUGCUCUUUGGGCUGGUGCCGCUGUGUUACAGAGCCAUCAGCCCCCAAACGUGGGAUGUCCACUGGUUCGCUCACGAACAUUGUAACUGCCUCCUAGGAGGAUUGGAACCCAAACACUCUCUUUCCACUGCAGUGAAACGCAAGCUCUCUCGCGUUUUCUCGAAAAAAAGUAAAGAAAGUUGAUGCGCCUGAUGGGGAAGAAGCUCUGCUUGGGGAGGCUCUGGCAGGGGCUUGAUCGUCUGUCUCUGCUAGUCUCCAGCGCCCCUUCCACUUCGUUAUCAGCUGCCCUCUGUUGCUGCUGUCUCUGUUCCUUGCUUCGUGCUGCUGCAGCUCUGUAUGCUGUGUUUGUGUCUUCAGAUACUGGUGUCUGUUCACUACUGUUUGCAAUGCCGGCUAUCCCUUGGGCUGUUUGUUUGCCAUUCGCGAAGACUGCUGUCCAAGAGCCUUGCAACGCCCCCACCGCGAUGAUCCCUGCAAUGUAUAUACACCUAAACCCUAUCGGGGAGAAAAUACACCUGGUCAAAUGAGAGAGAAUACCGUGCACACCAAAAUUCACAGAAUCCUCUUCAGAAAGGAUUGGGGGAUCAACCAUCUGCAGUAUCACCUAAUUCCUGCUUCCACGACAAUCUCUGGCCACUGACCCAUUAUUCUCAAGAAGAUGCACAUUGGGCAUUACAGGGGAUUCAGAUUUGAGGCCUACUGGGCAAGUCUUAAUGGUUUCAAAGAUGUGGUCCAAAAGGCUUGGUGCAAGCCUGUUUUUUCAACUGACGCUGUCAAGAGUCCGCAUAUCAAGCUAUCUAGGACCACAAGAGUACUGAAGCAAUGGAGUAACAGUCAUGGACAAGAGCAGGGGUUUAAAGAGAAGCUUGCAACAGAGGUGAUUUUCCAAUUGAAUCUUGCUCAGGAGGACAGGGAGUUGACUCAUGUUGAAAGAGCAAUUCGCACCACCCUCAAAAAACAGAUUGCACGGGUUUGCAGCAAUUGACAGAGCUCGUUGGAGACAAAGAUCAAGGGUUACCUGGAUCAAAUCUGGUGAUGCUAAUACCAGGUUAUUCCACUUAAGGGCAAAUGGGUGAAGGAGAAAAAAAAUCACAUGCCAGUGCUCUCCAAUGACCAUAGAAUUCAGGUCAACGACCACCCUGAGAAAGCUCAAAUUCUUCUGAACCAUUUCAACUCUCUCCUGGGUGAACCUACUCCAAGUGUGUUGGGCCUCAAUCUGGACUCUACAACUUCCCACUGCUAAUCUGUUGCACCUCAUGAGUUCUCCAUGGAUGAACUUAAGUUACCAUUUUUGCUUUGCCCGGUGAGGAAGCUCCUGGACCUGGCGGCUGCAUUGGUUUAUUUAUUUAUAAGAUCUGCUCUUCUAUUGUCGGCAUGGAUCUGUUGAAUGCUAUUAACCAGUUGAGAUUGCUCCAAGGUGAUCAUUGGCACUUAUUAAACUCCGCAAACAUUGCCCUCAUCCCAAAGAAGGGGGCAUCUGUCUCUGCUGCUGAUUUACAGCCCAUAAGCCUCAUGCAUAGCGUGGCUAAGAUCCUAGGGAAGAUGAUUGCCACCAGGCCUGCUCUUGCCUUGCAAUCUCUGGUGUCAAGCUGUCAAAGCGCAUUUAUCAAGAAGAGAUAUAUUCAAGACAACUUCCUGUUUUGUAAGAAACAUUGUAAAGGAAGCCCACUGCAAGAAGAAACCCCUGCCGUUCCUCAAACUCGUCUUUGCCAAGGCUUUUGACAACGUUCAUUGGGAUUAUCUCCUUAACCUGCUUUAGGCCUUCAGUUUCAGUGCUAGAUGGAGGGAUCUGAACUCCUCCUCGCCUGCUACUUACACCUUUGGAGUGAACCUUAAUGGAACCCCUGGGAAACCUUUCCAUCACAGACGUGGGCUGCGACAGGGAGAUCCGCUUGCCCCAAUGCUCCUCAUUCUAGCCCUCGAGCCACUGCAGUGAAUCUUUGCCAAGGCUACUGAAUGUAGACUUCUUUUGCCCGUCAUGCAGACAGCAUCGAAGAUGAGAGCCAGUUUCUAUGUGGAUAAUGCUGCCUUCUUUUAAACCCUUGCAAGAAUGAAGUCAACAAUGUCUCUGCUAUCCUGAUUUUGUUUAGAUCAGUCUCUGGCCUCAAGAUAAACCUAGCAAAAUGCGUGGCAUUUCCGAUCAGCUACCAGAGCCUGGAUCUCAGAGAUAUUCUCUCUGGAUUUGGUGGUAAACUGGGGUCGUUCCCAUGUAGCUACCUGGGUCUCCCUCUUGGCACUAUAGAUCCUUGCACAGGUUUAAUUGUCAGCCUCUGCUGCAUAAGUAUUCGACCAGACUCAAAUCGUGGAAAGGCAAGCUUAUGUCCAGGGAAGGACGCCUGGUCUUGGUUAAUGCGGUACUCUUGGCCCUUUCUACUUACUUUCUCACAUUCCCUCAAAGUGGUUGAUCAAAAGGAUUGAUAAGACCAGACACAACUUCCUUCCUCUGGUGUGGUGAAGAGAGUGCACAUGGCAGUAAAUGCCUUGUCAAUUGGACAAAAGUAUCUUCCCCGAAGGAUUAUGGUGGUCUUGGCAUCAAGGAUCUUGAUCUGCACAGCCACGCCUUGCGACUCGGGUGGCUAUGGUAGAGCUGGGACAACUCUGAUUGACCAUGGAAAGGUCUCCCAGUUCCUUGCAAUGAGACUGACAUGCGCCUUUCUGCUGCUUGCACCACUAUCAACAUCAAAACUGGCACACUAAAAGACCUUGACCGGAGCUCUACAAGCUAGCUGCCCUUAAAAACCUCUCGGUCCGAGAUGGAAUGAUGAAUGACAGAUGGAUGAGAGGCCUUCGGAAAAUAAAUUCUGAGCACAGUUUAACUCUUUCAUCAGGAUAGGAGCACUUGUUCUCACCAGUCACCUGGGUGAUGGCCAGGACGUUAUAACCUGGAACCUCACUGCUAAUAACUGCUACUCUGCUGGUUCUGCCUACAGCACUCAAUUCCUUGGAAAGAUCAAGGACCCUAGACUGCACAAGAUUUGGUCUGUGAAAUCUGAAGGAAAAGUGUGCCUUUUCAUUUGGCUGCUUCUCCAAAACAGGCUUUGGAUGGCAGAUAGACUAAGGGACAGGGGAUGGCCACAUGCUAUGGUGUGCCCUAUGUGCGAUCAGGUUGGUGUGGAAGUGCAGUUCACUUGACGCUGAUUUGCCCUUUUGCCAAGCAAGUUUGGUGCGUUUUGGUUACUUCGCACGCUGCUGCUGCUGCGGAUGCUGCAACGGUCAGUACCUCUAUCUUCAAAUGGUGGCACAGAACCUCAAGAUACACCAAGAACAUCUCAGGUCACGGCCACUGUCUAUGUUGCCUGGAAUCUAUGGACAGAGAGAAACAGACGCAUCUUAAAAAAUGAAACUAUCUCGGUUGAGGGGGUUGUAGCCCUGAUUAGAGCUGACAUUGAGGCCUUUGAGUAGGCAUAGCGCGAGUAGUCAUCUGCCGCCUUCUGAUUGUUUUCCCCUUUUCUUGUAACCUCUACUCUGUACAGUUUUCCCCUCUACUAUAUUGAAUUGGCAGAGCUCCCGCUGUUGCCCGUAAAAAAAUGUGCCAAAUAAGCAUAACUAUGGUCUGACUCCGAUUCUCUAUUGUCCAUGAGAACUCUCCAAGGACACCAUUACACUCCAAUCAGUACUGACUCCAAUGUUGUUUCUCCAUUAGUUGAGAGGACCACAGAUGCAAGAUAUCUGCAAACAAGAAACUAUCUCGCUCUUGACCAGACCAGGAACUACUUUGAACGUUUUACUCUUGAGUUUUCUUGGGAACUGAAGAUUCAAGAUGUAGUCGACAGGGUAACAGAGCAGCGAACCAAGAUUGGCAUGCAAGCAGCCUUCAAUUACAGAGGUUCCUCCCGGCGAUAACUGCAAGCAAGCAAAACGAUGGCCCAGUCUGAUAGUAUCAGCAAAUUCAAUCACAGGGCCGUGUGUCUUAACUACAGGGGGAUCUCCAAGCAGAGAUGAUCCGCCGAUAGAUAUGAACAUCACCUUGAGAGCCGCCAUAACAAGGAAAGAUCUCUCCAUGUGACACAGCACACCAUAUUUCAUGAAGAAGUCAUAGAGGAACCCAGAUCAAUCUCGAUGAUAUGAAUGCUCUGCUGUGGUUGUGGACUCCAUCCUCUCCCGACAGCAAACUUUCGAGAACAAACCUGUGCGUCUCUGGAAGGGCGGCUGUAGAGCACUCCAUCCCAAAGAGCUGGCGCUUGAGCAGGUGAGACAGAGCAAACAAGAGGCAUACAUCUUUCAGUCGUGCGUCCAGUUGGGACCAAACUCAGCAUUACAGCAGCAAGUCAUUGCCCUACAUGUCACAAAAAAAAACCUCCCAGAAAUCAAAGGAAGGGACGGUCUAUGCACGAGAAUCAUGAGCUCAUCAUCAUUUCCAGCAGAUACGGCCGCUAGCAAAGCAGUUCGUAUUAUAUGACAUCGUCCAGCAGAAGCUCCCCCUCCAGCUGCGGUUGUGUUGUCUUCAGUAUCUUCUGAUAAUUACAUCAGAGUCGUAAGAUCGAUCAAUCAUGCAACCAUAUGCGGAUAAAGGAUGAGAUGUACCUUGAAGUUCAUGUAAGAAGCAUUCUUCUCUAGCCACUGCUUGUCCAUCACAAGGAAAGCAACACAGUAGAGCAGAUCUAAUAUAUUACAUGUCAGUAAACCUGUAAAUCAGAAAUUGGCAUUCUGUUGUUCCUCUGCAAGUUUGUUUUGGUUACAUGUAUGCAUGGUUUAUGCCUAGGGUCACAAAAAAAAAUUCAUUGACAUGAUUUAUGCGUAUGGUUAAAAAGGUCUUAAAAAUUCCGCGGAAACUUUUGCCAGAACUGAUGUGCAUACUUUUUGGCCAGGGACUUUUAAUUAUUUACAUGUGAAGUGUUCAUAUUCUUUUCUGUAUACUCUAUCUUUCAUGUUGUUUCUUUCUAACAAACUUCAGCAGAAGAUGUCGUGCAUCGUGUAAUGUGGCAACACCACGAAGGCCACCAUCAAGGCGAAGCUGCAUACACAGAGAGCAGGUCUUGACUCCAAACCUAUUUGUUCUUUA